AACGAACGCUGGCGGCAUGCCUAACACAUGCAAGUCGAACGAGAUCUUCGGGUCUAGUGGCGCACGGGUGCGUAACGCGUGGGAAUCUGCCCUUUGGUUCGGAAUAACAGUCGGAAACGACUGCUAAUACCGGAUGAUGACGAAAGUCCAAAGAUUUAUCGCCAGAGGAUGAGCCCGCGUAGGAUUAGCUAGUUGGUGUGGUAAAGGCGCACCAAGGCGACGAUCCUUAGCUGGUCUGAGAGGAUGAUCAGCCACACGGGGACUGGGACACGGCCCAGACUCCUACGGGAGGCAGCAGUGGGGAAUAUUGGACGAUGGGCGAAAGCCUGAUCCAGCAAUGCCGCGUGAGUGAUGAAGGCCUUAGGGUUGUAAAGCUCUUUUACCCGGGAUGAUAAUGACAGUACCGGGAGAAUAAGCUCCGGCUAACUCCGUGCCAGCCGCCGCCGUAA
rnacentral:rRNA from 1 species